CGUGUGGCUCACGCCACACGCUACAUUAUGUCGGGCUUCUAGCCCU
rfam:Lentisphaera araneosa HTCC2155 1101329224577, whole genome shotgun sequence.